rnacentral:rRNA from 1 species
CCUACGGGUGGCUGCAGUGGGGAAUAUUGGACAAUGGGGGGAACACUGAUCCAGCCAUGCCGCGUGUGUGAAGAAGGCCCUCGGGUUGUAAAGCACUUUCAGUGAGGAAGAACGCCUGGUGGUUAAUACCCAUCAGGAAAGACAUCACUCACAGAAGAAGCACCGGCUAACUCCGUGCCAGCAGCCGCGGUAAUACGGAGGGUGCGAGCGUUAAUCGGAAUUACUGGGCGUAAAGCGCGCGUAGGUGGCUUGAUAAGCCGGUUGUGAAAGCCCCGGGCUCAACCUGGGAACGGCAUCCGGAACUGUCAAGCUAGAGUGCAGGAGAGGAAGGUAGAAUUCCCGGUGUAGCGGUGAAAUGCGUAGAGAUCGGGAGGAAUACCAGUGGCGAAGGCGGCCUUCUGGACUGACACUGACACUGAGGUGCGAAAGCGUGGGUAGCAAACAGGAUUAGAUACCCUUGUAGUC